UUUCUCUUAAACAUUGAAAAGGAAUUUCCUUACUUAAAAGGGAAAGAGUUAAAGUGUAGCUUUCCAAAACAUUUGAGAAGCAUAUGAGAUUUUCCCCCCUGCAAAUCUUGCCGCGAAAAAAGAACAACAAACCACCAAAGAAAGCUUUGUUUUCAUUCUACUUGCUUUGAUUACUAUAGCAUCAGAGCAGUGAUGGGAUUCAGCUGGUUCUCUCCGGAUUGCGUGAACCAGUAGAGGCGACUGCAGAAGGCUCCACCCACCUGGUCGGACAUAAUAUGCGAAUACUGUGCAUAUGCAAAAGGCUGUGCGCAUGCGCAGAGGUGGCAUGUGUGAGUGAAGCGUGUGUGUGUGCCCUUUCACAUUUGCGAACCAGUAGGGAAGCAUGAUGAUUCCAUUUGUCUUCUGGUGCGCAAAUCCAUGGGGAACUGCUAUUCUGUGGUCUUCUUGCAAGGAGCAACCCUCUGAAGCACAUGUGGGUGAUCUAUUAUUCUCUUCUUAUCCAGACAAGUUCUGGGUCUAGACUACUUGCCAGUCAUUCAGUCAUAGCCACAGUGAGAACCUCCACUCAUUCAGAGACAUCUUAGCUUGCCGCCCAGAAACUGCAAUCAAGAAUGGAAUUUCUGGAAAAAAAAACAGCUGGGAGCAGCUCAGAAGAGAACCAACUUGGGCUUCAAUGCAGAAUGCUCUUAAUCUCACAGACAAAUAGAAAAUAGAACUAUAUUCAAUAAAACAUGUGCCAGGUU